UCCGGUAGCUAUGGCAAAGAGGCCACACCCGUUCCCAUCUCGAACACGGAAGUUAAGCUCUUUUGCGUCGAUGGUACUGCAUGGGUGACUGUGUGGGAGAGUAGAUCGCUGCCGGAU
rfam:Desulfobacterales bacterium RIFOXYA12_FTLL_46_15 rifixya3_full_scaffold_5654, whole genome shotgun sequence.